rnacentral:lncRNA from 1 species
GGUUUCUUCUAAGUCAGAAUUAAUAGGAGUAAAACUAUCCGUAAUCUUAUUUUUAGAUGAUAAAUUGCAUUAAACAAAACAUUAAUAUAUAUCUGUAUACGGCAAACACCAAAUUGGAAAAAAACAAGUAUAAGGUUUUUAAGGCAACAACUAAACUUAAAUUUAACAAAUUUAAUAUAUAAACAUCAUUUAAAUAAUAAUGUAACAAAAAAUAUAAAGGCUGCAUUGAAUUGUUCCGUAAAAUUUCAAAAAGUAUUUAAUAAGAUUCCAGGGAUUACUUUUACUAGGGAACCUUGUCAUAUUUGCUUUCAAAGAUAUCCGGUUCGAAGGACCAAAUGUUAGAGCACCUUUGCUUGUCUUACUUCCUUUCUUUACCGUUUGGGGUGCAUAUUGAUUAUUUAAUAUAACUUGACGGUAAUUAUUUCUUUAGUAUAAUAUAUUAUAUUUAUUUUUCUAGUAUUACAUAGGAGUGCUAUUAGACAUUAAUUAAAAUCUAUUGCUAAUGCAAGAGGAGAUAAUACCUAUAAAUGUUCCUCCAAUCACAACCCAGUGCUAUCAUACAUAUAAAUAUAUACAAAUACAAUUUUUUCAUUCUUUAGGAGAGAAAGUAUCAUAAUGAUUAAUCAUAUUUAAAUCACUAAUAAAAUAAGUAACCUGUAGGUUGUAACUAAAAACUUGGUGUUUAUAGCUUAUGUAUGUUAAUAAUGUAGAAGGGGCCAUCACAAAAAUUUUUAAAUGCGGAUUAAGUAAUUCUGCAACAUGAUUUUUUUUAAAUAAUUAUUCAGUGAAUUUUUAUUAUUGAAUAAAUUAUUUUUAUUUAGUCCGUUUGUCUAUGUAAUGAUAUAUCUUAAAUAUCGCAUAUAUAUAUAUAUAUAUAUGUAGUUUUGGGGUCAAAUUAGUAGUAUUACCUUGUGUCAACGUCUCAUCCGUCGAAAUGACAUGGAAAACAAAUAUUAUGGGUGAUUUUUAACCAAAAUAUAUUUUUAAAGAGACCAAUUUUGGAACAUUUCAUUUUCUGCGUUCAAUAAAUGUUUUUUUAACAAACCUGAACUUUUUAAGGGCGGACACACAAUUUCAAUUCCAUAACCUAGGGAUAUUUUUAACAUAUUCCUUAAAGCCGUUUGUGUGUCCUAGUGUCUGAUUGGACAAAACGGUAUUGAAUAGGAGGUUCCCUUCGAAUCUAAGCCAAUCAAAUAUCUCUGGUAUAUAUUGUAACAGAAUUAGUUUAAAUUUUGGUAUUCUGGGCUAGUAAAUUUUUUGCAGGCUAAAAAAAAAAAUGACUAUCCCUAUUGGCUAGUGGCUAAUUUGAAUGACUAUUGAGCCUUGCUUAAGGAUUCCAAAUACAUCACUCUCCUGCAAAUUAAUCAACUUCAAUGUAUAUUUUUUGACUACCGAGUCUUUCUAGUUGAUUUGAAUAAUGGAAAUGCUCAUCAGUACAAGGGAAGAACCAGAAAAUGUUAAAAGUGAGGGAUGUUUCCAAUAUAGUUAACCUUCCUUCCUGAAUGGAGAGGCUGAUUAUCGUAAAUCUUUUAGAAAAUUAAUUUAAUUUAUUUUUGUUAAUUACAUUGGUACUUUUGAUGCAAAAGUGGCAUAUUUUAAUGUACAUAAAUAUCUUAUGAUAUUUCAUAUUGGCCUUAUACUGAAAAUAACGACAACGUAGAAAAAUGUGCAAUGUCAGUGUUUCAAUAGGAGCUGAUGUUUUAGUUAGUGAUUUAAAAUUUGCAAAAUGUCAAAAUAUUUAAUAAUUGUUAGAAAAGUAUUUGUUUGCUUAUUACAUAAUGUGAAUUAAUA